rnacentral:rRNA from 1 species
GACGAACGCUGGCGGCGUGCUUAACACAUGCAAGUCGAACGGAAAGGCCCUGCUUUUGUGGGGUGCUCGAGUGGCGAACGGGUGAGUAACACGUGAGUAACCUGCCCUUGACUUUGUGAUAACUUCAGGAAACUGGGGCUAAUACCGGAUAUGAUCUCCUGCUUCAUUGUGUGGUUUGGAAAGUUUCGGCGGUUGGGGAUGGACUCGCGGCUUAUCAGCUUGUUUGUGGGGUAGUGGCUUACCAAGGCUUUGACGGGUAGCAGGCCUGAGAGGGUGACCGGCCACAUUGGGACUGAGAUACGGCACAGACUCCAACGGGAGGCAGCAGUGGGGAAUAUUGCAAAAUGGGCGGAAGCCUGAUGCAGCAACGCCGCGUGCGGGAUGACGGCCUUCGGGUUGUAAACCGCUUUCGCCUGUGACGAAGCGUGAGUGACGGUAAUGGGUAAAGAAGCACCGGCUAACUACGUG